rnacentral:rRNA from 1 species
UACAGAGGUCUCGAGCGUUAGGCGGAAUCACUGGGCUUAAAGCGUGUGUAGGCGGAUCGUUAAGUACCUUGUGAAAUCCCACGGCUUAACCGUGGAACUGCUUGGUAUACUGGGCGGUCUUGAGCCAGCUAGGGGCUACCGGAACAAAUGGUGGAGCGGUGAAAUGCGUAGAUAUCAUUUGGAACGCCAAUGGGUGAAAACAGGUAGCUGGGGCUGUGCUGACGGCUGAGACACGGAAAGCCAGGGAGCAAACGGG